rnacentral:rRNA from 1 species
UACGAGGGGGGCUAGCGUUGUUCGGAAUCACUGGGCGUAAAGGGCGCGUAGGCGGCCGAUCAAGUCGGGGGUGAAAGCCUGUGGCUCAACCACAGAAUGGCCUUCGAUACUGGUUGGCUCGAGACCGGAAGAGGUGAGUGGAACUGCGAGUGUAGAGGUGAAAUUCGUAGAUAUUCGCAAGAACACCAGUGGCGAAGGCGGCUCACUGGUCCGGUUCUGACGCUGAGGCGCGAAAGCGUGGGGAGCAAACAGG